rnacentral:rRNA from 1 species
CCUACGGGAGGCAGCAGUGGGGAAUCUUGCGCAAUGGGCGAAAGCCUGACGCAGCCAUGCCGCGUGAAUGAUGAAGGUCUUAGGAUUGUAAAAUUCUUUCACCGGGGACGAUAAUGACGGUACCCGGAGAAGAAGCCCCGGCUAACUUCGUGCCAGCAGCCGCGGUAAUU